GACGAACGCUGGCGGCGUGCCUAACACAUGCAAGUCGAACGGAGAUACGAUUUCGGUUGUAUCUUAGUGGCGAACGGGUGAGUAACGCGUGAGCAACCUGACUCUUAGAGGGGGAUAACACCUGGAAACAAGUGCUAAUACCGCAUAAGACCACGACCCGACAUCGGGAUGAGGUCAAAGGAGCAAUCCGCUAAGAGAGGGGCUCGCGUCCCAUUAGAUAGAUGGCGGGGUAACGGCCCACCAUGUCAGCGAUGGGUAGCCGAGCUGAGAGGCUGAUCGGCCACACUGGAACUGAGACACGGUCCAGACUCCUACGGGAGGCAGCAGUGGGGAAUAUUGGGCAAUGGGCGCAAGCCUGACCCAGCAACGCCGCGUGAGGGAAGAAGGCUUUCGGGUUGUAAACCUCUGUCCUUGGUGACGAAAAAAAUGACGGUAGCCAAGGAGGAAGCCCCGGCUAACUACGUG
rnacentral:rRNA from 1 species